GACGAACGCUGGCGGCGUGCUUAACACAUGCAAGUCGAACGGAAAGGCCCAGCUUGCUGGGUGCUCGAGUGGCGAACGGGUGAGUAACACGUGGGUGAUCUGCCCCUAACUUCGGGAUAAGCUUGGGAAACUGGGUCUAAUACCGGAUAGGACAAUCGUUUAGUGGCGGUUGUGGAAAGUUUUUUCGGUUAGGGAUGAGCCCGCGGCCUAUCAGCUUGUUGGUGGGGUAAUGGCCUACCAAGGCGUCGACGGGUAGCCGGCCUGAGAGGGUGGACGGCCACAUUGGGACUGAGAUACGGCCCAGACUCCUACGGGAGGCAGCAGUGGGGAAUAUUGCACAAUGGGCGCAAGCCUGAUGCAGCGACGCCGCGUGGGGGAUGACGGCCUUCGGGUUGUAAACCUCUUUCGACAGGGACGAAGCUUUGGUGACGGUACCUGUAUAAGAAGCACCGGCUAACUACGUG
rnacentral:rRNA from 1 species